AUUGAACGCUGGCGGCAGGCUUAACACAUGCAAGUCGAACGGAGUGGCGGACGGGUGAGUAAUGCCUAGGAAUCUGCCUGGUAGUGGGGGAUAACGUCCGGAAACGGGCGCUAAUACCGCAUACUAUCAGAUGAGCCUAGGUCGGAUUAGCUAGUUGGUGGGGUAAAGGCCUACCAAGGCGACGAUCCGUAACUGGUCUGAGAGGAUGAGCAGCAACACUGGAACUUAGACACGGUCCAGACUCCUACGGGAGGCAGCAGUGGGGAAGAUUGGACAAUGGGCGAAAGCCUGAUCCAGCCAUGCCGCGUGUGUGAAGAAGGUCUUCGGAUUGUAAAGCACUUUAAGUUGGGAGGCGUUACCAACAGAAUAAGCACCGGCUAACUUCGUGCCAGCCGCCGCGGUAAUAC
rnacentral:rRNA from 1 species